UCGUGCUAGACGGGGAGUUAGCGGUGCCCUGUAACCCGCAAUCCGCUACAGCGGGGUUGAAUUCCCAUUCCGAGGGUUGAUCUUGCGCUGUCGGUAUCUUACAGCCGCAGUGUUGAGAGUCAGGUCCUGCGCAACGUGAGAUCGCCGAACCCCGUCAGGACCGGAAGGUAGCAGCGGUAAGCGACCCCUCUCGUGUGCCGUGGGGCCACCUGGCCGGAGCUGUCGGCUUGGAUACUCCAGACGCGAGGACAUUCGAAGGUGGGUGCACGA
rnacentral:SRP_RNA from 1 species